CCGAGCGUGUUCCCCAUGACCUCAGCAUGCAAAGCACCAGCAGGAAACAAGGUGGACCUGGUCUGCUUGGUGACCGAGUACUACCCAGAGCAGUUGACGGUCACCUGGGAGCCAGCACAGAACAUAAAUCAGACGACCUUCCCGCCCACAAAGAAAGGGGCAUUCUACACCCUGACCAGCCGCGUCUCCUUUCCGGACUCACAGUGGGACCUGAACACAUCGUACAUGUGCACUGCCCACCACAAUGAGACCAAGAGCCAGAUAAAGAAGACUUUCCAAAAAUCAGACUCGGGGAAUUCGAAGGUCUUCCCCGCGCCCACUGUCCCUGUGCCAGCAGAGAAGGGCUCUGUGGAGGCCAGGGGACCCACCUCCCCCGCCACCAGCCACACAGGUGAGAACUCGGCCUCUCAGCGAGUCUUCCUUGUAGCCCAUGCGGACCCGGGCUGCUCCUGUGGGCCGCCCUCCAGGACUGCUCACCUCAGUGCUUAACCCAGAGCAGAGCUGAGCAACAGAGCUGAGCUGAGGCCUGCACACCACCUGGAGCAAGCCAGCCCCG